rnacentral:sRNA from 1 species
AUUCUGCCCAUGCGGGGAAGGAUGAGAAGCUUCGACCAAGGUUCGACUCGAGCGCCAGCGAGAGAGCGUUGCCGCAGGC